CCAAUACUCCCUCCGUUCCGAAUUACUUGUCGCAGAAAUGUAUGUAUAUAGAACUAAAAAAUGUCUAGAUACAUCCAUUUCUACGACAAGUAAUUCCGAACGGAGGGAGUACAUG
rfam:Triticum aestivum genome assembly, contig: Triticum_aestivum_CS42_TGACv1_scaffold_577258_7BL